UUCGCAGUUCGCACUUCACUUCACCGCUUCGGUCUUGGGGAAACGGCGUAGAUCAGUUUUGGUGUGGAUCAGUUUUGGGGAAACGGCGUAGAUGACCACUGGUUGGCGGUGCUCGUUGUCGACUGUGGGCUGAAGGGUGAUUGAGGUGGUGCGGCUGAGCGGGGUGAUUGAGGUGGUGCGGCUGAGCAGGGUGAUUGAGGUGGUGCGGCUGGUGCGGCUGAGCUGGUGCAACUCCAAUCUUGAAGCCUGAAGUUUUUCCGCCUGCUGCUCCGAUUCCAAGCCAAAAAAAAUUGUGGAAUUCAAGCUUAUCUACUAAUAGUGGAAGUCCAAACUCGUUCACACUUCACACCAUCUUCAUCAGCUUUUCUCGCAACCCUGUCUCAGGUAUUUUACUUCAUACACCUGCUGCGCUUCUAUCUUCUUUUUUCAAUACGAAUUGGUCUAUAAAAUCAACUCAUUUAUGCGGUACAAAGUAUACUAUUUUGCAUUUUUACUUACUAAGCUCGAAGACCUAAACUGUUUCAGUUUCGAUUAAUUUUGUCAAGCUCACAAUAAAUGAAAGAAAAUAAAAAUGGAGUUAUGGUCAAUGUAUUAAAAGGUCAGGCUCCCCAUUCAAGUCUUCAACUAACUUGCCAACACGUUCCACCUCUUCAUUGUCUCCUUAACAAAGUUCAGUUUUCAGUCAAUAAUCCAAUGAGAUUUAGAUAAAGCAAAAUCUCCAUAAUCAAAAGAUUAUGUGCAAGCCAUAAUAGAAACAUACAUUUUAAUAUGUAUCCCCACAAUCAAUGCACAUUGUGCAUUAUUUGGAUGCCAUUUACAUCUUAUAAUAACUCUAAAUGAUUAAUCAGCAUAUGAUAGUGAGGCUGUACGUUUAGCCUCCAUCAUGCAUAAAAUAAGUACACAUUUUCUUUAAUGCUGUCCCUCCAUGCAUGUAUAUAUCUAGCACUAGUCCGUUUGUCCUCGCAGUACAUUAUGAUCUAACACCCUAUACAGAAACAAAAGAGAAAAGAAGAUAUGGGACAAGGAAGCCCUUCAUCUGAGAAAAUGAAGCUGCUUAUUGCACUGCUCAUUUUGCAGUUGUGCUUUGCAGGAUUUCACAUUGUCUCUAGAGUUGCACUUAAUAUUGGUGUCAGCAAAAUUGUAUACCCAGUUUAUAGGAAUAUCAUUGCAUUGCUUCUACUAGGACCCUUUGCUUAUUUUAUGGAAAAGUGAGACUUCAAGUGUCCUAACACAGUUUGUCAUUUGAUAUCUCUUUUGGAAAAAAGAGUUCAAUUGAUAGUUCGAUUUUUCUUGUUCCAGGUACUGAUAUUCGGUAAUGAAAUUUGCAUGCGAAACAUGAUUCUAAUAAUAGUCUAAUAGUCUUAAGCUUCAUUUAUUUGGGAACUGAAACAUGAUUCUAAUAAUAGUCUAAUACAUACUGAUGCUUGACAAAGUUAACCCUGACCCCUGGAAGCUUCGAAAACCCAGACCAGAUUGUGUCAUUAGGCGUACGAAAAAUUUUGAAUAUCUGCAAAACAAAACGACAAUGAUCUUUAAGGCCACAGAGAAGAAAAUUAGCUUGAAAUCCAUACAAAAAUCUACAGUAACAUGACAGAUGAAAGUUAUUUGAUGUCUUUGAAAGUUAUUUGAUGUCUUUAAAUCUCUGUGCUAUUAUUUAAAAGUUAUUUGAUGUCUUUAAAUCUCUGUGCUAUUAUUUAAAAGUUAUUUGAUGUCUUUAAAUCUCUGUGCUAUUAUUUAAAAGUAUAUUUGAUGUCUUUAAAUCUCUGUGCUAUUAUUUAAAAGUAUAUUUGAUGUCUUUAAAUCUCUGUGCUAUUAUUUAAAAGUAUAUUUGAUGUCUUUAAAUCUCUGUGCAAAACCCAGUUACCAUGAAGAUACUUAACACCCUCAAGAAAUGCACAAGGCUUAGGGAAUUAACUUCACUCGUGCUAAACGGUUGUUAGCUUUAAUAAUUUGUUUCAGUUUGUGUAUAUUAAUUAUUUGUUAAGACUAGUUAUUUUUAAAUAUCUCAAUUUAGGAUGGAGGCUGGUAGCGGUAGUAACUCACAAUGUUCACCGGGGGGACCAUUCAAUAGUGAGGGAUCUGCAAGUCAGCCCCAAGGUCAUAGGCAAAAGACAGAUAUAG
rnacentral:lncRNA from 1 species